rnacentral:rRNA from 1 species
GAUGAACGCUGGCGGCGUGCCUAAUACAUGCAAGUCGAGCGAACAGACGAGGAGCUUGCUCCUCUGACGUUAGCGGCGGACGGGUGAGUAACACGUGGAUAACCUACCUAUAAGACUGGGAUAACUUCGGGAAACCGGAGCUAAUACCGGAUAAUAUAUUGAACCGCAUGGUUCAAUAGUGAAAGACGGUUUUGCUGUCACUUAUAGAUGGAUCCGCGCCGCAUUAGCUAGUUGGUAAGGUAACGGCUUACCAAGGCAACGAUGCGUAGCCGACCUGAGAGGGGGAUCGGCCACACUGGAACUGAGACACGGUCCAGACUCCUACGGGAGGCAGCAGUAGGGAAUCUUCCGCAAUGGGCGAAAGCCUGACGGAGCAACGCCGCGUGAGUGAUGAAGGUCUUCGGAUCGUAGAACUCUGUUAUUAGGGAAGAACAAAUGUGUAAGUAACUAUGCACGUCUUGACGGUACCUAAUCAGAAAGCCACGGCUAACUACGUG